UACAGAGGGUGCAAGCGUUAAUCGGAAUUACUGGGCGUAAAGCGCAUGUAGGCGGAUAUUUAAGUCGAGUGUGAAAGCCCCGGGCUCAACCUGGGAACUGCAUUCGAUACUGGAUAACUAGAGUAUGAUAGAGGAAAGUGGAAUUCCCGGUGUAGCAGUGAAAUGCGUAGAUAUCGGGAGGAACACCAGUGGCGAAGGCGGCUUUCUGGAUCAAUACUGACGCUAAAGUGCGAAAGCGUGGGGAGCAAACAGG
rnacentral:rRNA from 1 species